rnacentral:misc_RNA from 1 species
AUCAAACUCGCUUUGAACAGACGAUGUGCAUUCAAAAUUAACUUGUGUACAUCAUGCUUAUGACAGCUGCAGGUGUUAAUUAUAUUCAGGGUUAAGUUGAAAGUAGUUGUUAGGAUACAUAUUGGUCAUUACAAGGUUUUCCUUUUCUUUGGACAAGGAUCAUAAGGUUGAUAAAGUGAUAGCAGCUGUCAUGCGACCUGUGGAUGGCAUCAAAUUGUACAUUCGGUCAAGAGACAACUAAUGACAAUGCUGUACUCACCUAUACGCUGAAUCUAGUCAAUACAUCAAAGAUAUUAUAAACCUACGACUUGAUGCAUGAAAAGACGUCAACAUAAACACAAUUAAUUAUGAACUCCAAAAUUAACGGAGGAAAACUUUAUGAAAACAAAAAGUCAUCACCUUUUACGUAUAAUUUAAUUGUGUUGCAUUUGGAAACGGUAACUUGAUUAGAUCUGGAAAUACCGGUGAUAAAAUUGACGGUUUGUGUAAAAAUAAAAUAGUUUCUUCCUG